rnacentral:rRNA from 1 species
UACGAAGGGGGCUAGCGUUGCUCGGAAUUACUGGGCGUAAAGGGCGCGUAGGCGGCACUGUUAGUCAGGCGUGAAAUUCCUGGGCUCAACCUGGGGACUGCGCUUGAUACGGCAGAGCUAGAGGAUGGAAGAGGCUCGCGGAAUUCCCAGUGUAGAGGUGAAAUUCGUAGAUAUUGGGAAGAACACCGGUGGCGGAGGCGGCGAGCUGGUCCAUUACUGACGCUGAGGCGCGACAGCGUGGGGAGCAAACAGG